CACGAUCAGGGUAUUUAGAUAGUAUGUGCUAAAGGUGUCCCAUCUUCCCCCACUCUACUAUAUAUAUUCAGUUCGUGGCGUGGUUCUGCAUGCUUAACAAUGUAGAACUGAAUGUUGCGCAAUCCAAGUUCAGACAAGGUGACUGCUAUUAAAUGACGUCAUGGAAUUUUGCUGCCACGCCACGGGUGACGAUGCAAACUUGCAAGCUUUCUUUGUUUAGCAUUCAUGAUGUGUUUGUUUAGAUUGCGUUAUGUAAAACACUAAUAAAAAAAAUGCAAGCUUAAGUCAAUAUUGCGAAAUUCAUAACUUGCCAAUACAGUUGCCAUACAUUGCAAAUCAAACAAAAACGUUCUAGUUUUAAGAAACGACUGUGUAAGGUGUAUUAUAUUUCAUUCAUAU